GACGAACGCUGGCGGCGUGCUUAACACAUGCAAGUCGAUCGGAAAGGCCCUGCUUUUGUGGGGUGCUCGAGUGGCGAACGGGUGAGUAACACGUGAGUAACCUGCCCUUGACUUUGGGAUAACUUCAGGAAACUGGGGCUAAUACCGGAUAGGAGCUCCUGCUGCAUGGUGGGGGUUGGAAAGUUUCGGCGGUUGGGGAUGGACUCGCGGCUUAUCAGCUUGUUGGUGGGGUAGUGGCUUACCAAGGCUUUGACGGGUAGCCGGCCUGAGAGGGUGACCGGCCACAUUGGGACUGAGAUACGGCCCAGACUCCUACGGGAGGCAACAGUGGGGAAUAUUGCACAAUGGGCGGAAGCCUGAUGCAGCAACGCCGCGUGCGGGAUGACGGCCUUCGGGUUGUAAACCGCUUUCGCCUGUGACGAAGCGUGAGUGACGGUAAUGGGUAAAGAAGCACCGGCUAACUACGUG
rnacentral:rRNA from 1 species